AGAGUUUGAUCCUGGCUCAGAACGAACGCUGGCGGCGUGGCUAAGACAUGCAAGUCGCACGAAUGACUCAAUUGAGUAAUCGAGAGAGUCGUUAGUGGCGGAAGGGUGAGUAAUGCGUAGGUAACGUACCCCGAACACCGGGAUAGCUGCGGUCUUCGGACCUUUAGCGAAAGUGCAGGUAAUACCGGAUGAAAUCCUAGUGUCGCAUGGCACAUGGACCAAAGACUUCGGUUGGUUUGGGAGCGGCCUACGUCGUAUCAGCUUGUUGGUAGGGUAAUGGCCUACCAAGGCAGCGACGCGUACCGGGACUGAGAGGUUGACCCGGCACAUCGGGACUGAGACACUGCCCGGACCUCCACGGAGGGCUGCAGUAACGAAUAUUGCGCAAUGGGCGAAAGCCUGACGCAGCGACGCCGCGUGUAGGAAGAAACCCCUCGGGGUGUAAACUACUGUCAGGUGGAAGAAAGGCCGCUUCGGCGGUUUGAUCGAUACCAGAGGAAGCACCGGCUAACUUCGUGCCAGCAGCCGCGGUAAUACGAAGGGUGCAAGCGUUGUUCGGAAUCACUGGGCUUAAAGAGCACGUAGGCGGGAAGUUAAGUGCAUUGUGAAAUCCCUCGGCUCAACCGAGGAACUGCAGGGCAUACUGGCUUCCUUGAGGCAUGUAGAGGUGUGCGGAACUCUAGGUGGAGCGGUGAAAUGCGUAGAUAUCUAGAGGAACGCCAGUGGUGAAAACGGCACACUGGGCAUGUCCUGACGCUGAGGUGCGAAAGCGUGGGGAGCGAAGAGGAUUAGAUACCCUCGUAGUCCACGCCGUAAACGAUGUCUACUUGGUCGUGGAGGUUCUGACGCCGUCACGGCCGAAGCAAAAGUGAUAAGUAGACCGCCUGGGGAGUACGGUCGCAAGGCUAAAACUCAAAGGAAUUGACGGGGGCUCACACAAGCGGUGGAGCAUGUGGCUUAAUUCGAAGCAACGCGAAGAACCUUAUCCUGGGUUUGACAUGUACGGAUGCUCUUGGUGAAAGCCAAGUAGGUUGCCUUCGGGUGAAACGUACACAGGUGCUGCAUGGCUGUCGUCAGCUCGUGUCGUGAGAUGUUGGGUUAAGUCCCUUAACGAGCGAAACCCUUAUCGUUAGUUGCCAGCGGGUCAUGCCGGGGACUCUAACGAGACUGCCGGUGUCAAACCGGAGGAAGGUGGGGAUGACGUCAAGUCCUCAUGGCCUUUAUGCCCAGGGCUGCACACGUGCUACAAUGGCGACUACAAACCGAAGCGAGACCGUGAGGUGGAGCAAAUCGGAAAAAAGUCGCCCCAGUUCGGAUUGUAGGCUGCAACUCGCCUGCAUGAAGUCGGAAUCGCUAGUAAUCGCAGAUCAGCUAUGCUGCGGUGAAUAUGUUCCUGAGCCUUGUACACACCGCCCGUCAAGUCACGGAAGCUGGGAGUACCUGAAGUCGGGUAGUUAACCCCGC
rnacentral:rRNA from 1 species